rnacentral:rRNA from 1 species
GACGAACGCUGGCGGCGUGCUUAACACAUGCAAGUCGAACGGAAAGGCCCUGCUUGCAGGGUACUCGAGUGGCGAACGGGUGAGUAACACGUGGGUGAUCUGCCCUGCACUUCGGGAUAAGCCUGGGAAACUGGGUCUAAUACCGGAUAGGAGCCAUUUUUAGUGUGAUGGUUGGAAAGUUUUUUCGGUGUAGGAUGAGCUCGCGGCCUAUCAGCUUGUUGGUGGGGUAAUGGCCUACCAAGGCGGCGACGGGUAGCCGGCCUGAGAGGGUGGACGGCCACAUUGGGACUGAGAGACGGCCCAGACGCCUACGGGAGGCAGCAGUGGGGAAUAUUGCCGAAUGGGGGCAAGCCUGAUGCAGCGACGCCGCGGGGGGGAUGACGGGCUUGGGGUUGUAAACUCCUUUCGCUAGGGACGAAGCUUUUUGUGACGGUACCUAGAGAAGAAGCACCGGCUAACUACGUG